AUGGAUGCCCCUCGGGCUGCCCGGCCCUCCAACCAUCCCUCCCUGCUCCAGUUUUUCAGAAGCCUCCUUGGGUACCCGCGGAGCUCGCUGGGGGCACAGGAGCCCAGAGCAGAGCAGCAGGAGCAGGGUGCUGCUGUAGGGCCCCGCAGCUGGCAGGCGGAGCGGGUUGAAAGCACCCAUGGGGGGAUCCAGGAGCACUGCGAGGAUGAGGAGGGGGACAGCAUGGAGCUGCUGCUGGGGGAGCUGCGGGAGGUCAGCCUGCAGGGAUCGCUGGGCAGCAGCACCAGCAGGAGCUGCCUGACCACCAGCACCAGUGAUGUGGAAGUGGCAGUGGAGGGCGAUGGGAUGGAGGCUACUGGUGGCACCGUGGCCCUGCAGAGCGAUGGGGCGGCCGGCGAGGAGAGAGGGGCUGCAGAUGAAGCCGUCGUUGGCCGAGCUCUGGUGAUGGAUGAGUUCCUUCAAGGUUUGGGUGCUGCUGAUGAAGACAUCUGCUCUGCAAGCCCUGAGCCGAUGUUUUCAAUGGAUCUUGACACUGAAUGGGAGAAAGGGCAUCUCCUGAAAGCAAAGCAGGGUGCAGGAUCCCCAAAAGCAGAGCUGUCCCUGUGGAACAGGUUCAUCAGUGUGAACAGACACCAGUGGACUUUGCGUAAGGCUCGUGCCUCGAGGAGUUCGAUGGAGCUGGAAAGCGAGGAGCAGCCGCUUCUGCGGGCAAAUGAGAGCAGCACCACGAGCCCCGAGCUCCCCGUCCUGCCCGCAGAACCGGUGUACAGGUUUUCCAAAAGCAGAGCAGCCACUGGUGGCUUUGGGAGAAACCAGGCAGAGCUGGGAGCAAACAGAGCAGGAAUGCCUGGAGAAGGCUGAG
rnacentral:lncRNA from 1 species